rnacentral:rRNA from 1 species
GUCUACAGCCGUACCACCCUGAACGUGCCUGAUCUCAUCUGGUCUCAGAAACUAAGUAGGGUCAUGCCUGGUUAAGUGCUAGGAUGAAAGUUCAAGACCAACCAUGAGAUUAGAAGGUUGGGACUUUAAGCC